rnacentral:tRNA from 1 species
GGCUCUGAGGUGUACUUACAUGUUAGAUUGCAAAUCUAAGGAAGCAGGGUAAAGCCUGCCGGGGCUU